CCUACGGGGGGCAGCAGUGAGGAAUAUUGGUCAAUGGGCGCGAGCCUGAACCAGCCAAGUAGCGUGAAGGAUGACUGCCCUACGGGUUGUAAACUUCUUUUAUAAAGGAAUAAAGUGAGGCACGUGUGCCUUUUUGUAUGUACUUUAUGAAUAAGGAUCGGCUAACUCCGUGCCAGCAGCCCCGGUAAUACGGAGGAUCCGAGCGUUAUCCGGAUUUAUUGGGGUUAAAGGAAGCGUAGAUGGGUUGUUAAGUCAGUUGUGAAAGUUUGCGGCUCAACCGUAAAAUUGCAAUUGAUACUGGCAGUCUUGAGUACGGUUGAGGUAGGCGGAAUUCGUGGUGUAGCGGUGAAAUGCUUAGAUAUCACGAAGAACUCCGAUUGCGAAGGCAACUUACU
rnacentral:rRNA from 1 species